rnacentral:lncRNA from 1 species
AUUCAACAGUAAGCUGGGAGAACCCUAGGAGAAUGCAGAGAAUGCUUUGCUACAUGGAAAGGAAUCCACAAGAAGGAAAACCCCCAAAUAGCCUCACCAGACUUUGGAUCAGGCCCAUGAAAAUGCUGUGCUUUGGACAACGAUCAAAGAAGGGGCAAAAUGAAUCACCUCUAUUUCUGCAGAAAGGAGUUCUCUUGCAUCUGAAGACAGCCCCUAGGCUCUACAAGUUUGAUAACUUCCCAGUCAAUGAGUGAAUGUUCCUCUCUCAAUUUUUAUCAUUCACUGACAAAUUCUCUAGACACAUCCUUUGUUAAUCUGGAAGCCUUAAGAGAAAGCACCCCUCUCCCUGCUCAGGACCAGUUGUGCGAAAUUAAAGAAAGGAUCCAAUUAGAGGCUGGGGGCCUUCUUUAUCACCCUGAUACCUUCAACCAGACCACAGACCCCCAAAAUCAUCUGACAUUAACAUGGCACCAGAGGCUUGCCUCUAGCUGCAGGUAUCUUCUUGUUCGUCUGCUAGAAGAUAGAACGAAAAAGGAGCUCCUGACCUGUGUGGAAUCAUUCAGUAUUUUGCAGGCUCCUAUCUUCAUGGCUGCAAGGACUAACAAAUGCCUAUUUAAAAACAUUUAUUUUUCAUUGUCGUAG